rnacentral:rRNA from 1 species
AGAACGAACGCUGGCGGCAUGCCUAAUACAUGCAAGUCGAACGAACUCUUCGGAGUUAGUGGCGCACGGGUGCGUAACGCGUGGGAAUCUGCCCCUUGGUUCGGAAUAACAGUUGGAAACGACUGCUAAUACCGGAUGAUGACGAAAGUCCAAAGAUUUAUCGCCAAGGGAUGAGCCCGCGUAGGAUUAGCUAGUUGGUGAGGUAAAGGCUCACCAAGGCGACGAUCCUUAGCUGGUCUGAGAGGAUGAUCAGCCACACUGGGACUGAGACACGGCCCAGACUCCUACGGGAGGCAGCAGUAGGGAUAUGGACAAUGGGCGAAAGCCUGAUCCAGCAAUGCCGCGUGAGUGAUGAAGGCCUUAGGUUGUAAAGGCUCUUUUACCCGAGAUGAAUAAUAGACAGUAAGUCGGGAAGAAGUAACGUCCCGGACGUAACCGUCCGU